ACUCAAAGGAAUAGACGGGGACCCGCACAACCGGUGGAGCGUGUGGUUCAAUUCGAGACGAAACGAAGAACCUCACCAGGGUUUGACAUGCUAGCGUUCUAUUUAUCAGAAAUGAUAGAAAUCCGUAAGGAGGCUAGCACAGGUGCUGCAUGGCUGUCGUCAGCUCGUGCCGUGAGGUGUUCCUUUAAGUAGGGAAACGAGCGCAACCCCCAUCCAAUGUUAUACAGUCAUUGGAAACAGCCCCACUCUCAAGCGUAUUAUUUUUAAUGCUUUUGAGUGUGGGGAGGAAGGAGGGGAAGACGUCAAGUCCGCAUGGUCCUUAUACCCUGGGCUACACACACACUACAAUGGCGAAUAACAAUGGGCCGCAAGUACGCAAGUGCAAGCAAAUCCCAUAAAUUUCGCCUCAGUUCAGAUUGGGGUCUGCAACCCGACCCCAUGAAGUCGGAAUCGGUAGUAAUCGCGGAUCAGCAUGCCGCGGUGAAUACGUUCUCGGGUCUUGUACACACCGCCCGU
rnacentral:rRNA from 1 species